UUUUUUGUAGCUCAGUUGGUUAGAGCAUCAGACUUUUAAUCUGACGAUCAUGGGUUCAAUUCCCAUCAAAUAUA
rnacentral:tRNA from 1 species